rnacentral:rRNA from 1 species
UCUGGUGGCAUUAAGCAAUAUUCAACACUCGUUCCCAUUCCGAACACGCCAGUGAAAUGAUUGCUGACCGAUGAUAGUGCAUCUAUAGGUUGCGCAAAAGUAGGUUGUCGCCAGUU